AAGGAAUAUAUAAGAGCAUGGUAGUAUGGUACUAUUGAUUGUCGCCUAAGUUUGCAUAAUUUUAUAAGGUUGCCGCCACCCACCAGUACCAAACCCCACACAUCUAUCAAUCACAACUUUCCUCGACCAUUCAAAAACCUUUCCUGCUCUUCCAUCAUCAUAUCUUAAUAUUCUUCUUGAUAAACCAAAUAUUCAGUUCAAACUACCUGAGUAUAAGCCAUGUGCUGCUGACAUAUAAUCCAUGUGCUGCUGACAUGGUGAAAGGACUAUUCUAAAUGAAACCCAUGAAGUCCUGUCGAAGAUGGGCAGAAGAAUAUUGCAUGAUCUCACAUUAUUUAUUGCAUGCGUGUACUAUUGUUUAUGGCAUGCGGGUGUAUGUAAAACUGUAUAAAAACCAUACUGCAAUGAUGCAGAUUGUAAGAAAGCCAAACCAUACUCCUUGAUGAGUUUAUGCAGUUCACAGUUUUCGAACCCUAGCUUAAACUCUUUCAUGGUAUCAAAGAGCUAAAGUCUAGCGACAAUAAUUUUUUUUUCCCCGUUCUCCCAUGGCUUCUCAAUCUUCCUCUCCCAUUCCCUUUCCUAAUGUCUCCAAUUUUCUCACGAUCAAACUUGAUCGUACCAACUACCCUCUCUGGCAAGCCCAAAUGCUACCUCUCCUCCGCAGUCGAAAUCUGGUUUCCUUUGUUGAUGGAACUAGUAAGUGUCCCCCAGCAUUGCUGACAGAUGAGGAUGGAAACAUCACUGACAAAGUCAACCCUGAUUUCGACACUUGGAUACAACAGGAUGCAACUGUUAUGUCAUGGAUCAACUCCUCCGUCCAUCCUACCGUGCUUGCUGCUUUAAUUGGGAAAACCAGCUCCCACUCUGCCUGGACAACACUACGUGAUCGUUAUGCUUCUCAGUCCACCGGUCGCCUUCUCCAGCUUCGUAGUGAGUUGAUGAAUACUCACCGAGGUGAUUCUUCCAUUUCUGAAUUUUUGGAUAAAAUUAUUGUCUCGCAGAUACCCUCUCUCUCUCUGGUGCUCCCGUUUCCGACUCCGACAUCGUUGCCAUCAUCCUCAACAACGUUGGUCCGGCCUAUGAAAGUACCGUUGCUUCCGCUCAAGCCCGUGAUGAGGCUAUUACCUACAGUGCUUUGGAAGCCCUCCUCCUUGGCGCUGAAAGACGACAGCAAAUACAUUCCGCGUUUGGUACUGACAGUGGGCUCACUGUCCUUGCCGCCGCUCGCAAUGGCAACCGCGCACCUGCAUCUUCUCGAGGACGAGGAUCCUCUACUGGCUUCCGUGGUCGUAGUAACUUCAAUACUGGUCGCGGCUCUACCAAUCGCCACUACAGCUCCUCACCCUCUCACCAAGGUUCCUACUAUCACCAAGGGUCCAACUCUCACCAAGUAUCCCACUCCCGCCCACAUGAUGGGAUUCUUGGCACCUCUCCUUCCCAAGGUACUUUUACUACAAGCCGGAUUCAAUGCCAAAUAUGUAAUCGUUAUGGUCAUUCUGCGAUUGACUGCUUCAACCGCCUAAAUAUGUCUUAUGAGGGACGUGUCCCUGCACCACGUCUUCAAGCCUUUGCUGCUCGUGCUCCUCCUGCUUCUGCAACAGCACCUGCCAUACAGGAAUGGCUGUUUGACUCCGGGGCCAAUGCUCACAUCACCAAUAAUCUAGCUACUGUUGCGCAUCCUCAUCCUUAUACUGGCAUGGACCAAGUCAAUGGAGUUGUUGGUGGCACAGGUUUGCAAAUUUCACACAUAGGCAACACUUCCAUUCGUACACCUACCUCUACUUUCACAUUACCUAAUACACUACUAUGCCCUAAUGCAUCAACCAAUAUUAUUUCUAUCCAUCGUUUUACUACCGAUAAUAACUGUUCUCUAACCUUAUAUCCCAACUCAUACUGUGUUCAGGAACUCCACACGGGGAGGAUGCUUUUACAAGGCCCGAGUAGGAAUGGAUUCUACCCUUUUUCUGGUGUUUCAUCUUCCAUUAAAGGCGUGUCUGCAUUUUUAGGAACUAGAGUGUCCAAUUCAAUUUGGCACUCUAGGUUAGGUCAUCCAUCUUCUCAUAUUUUGCAAAAUUUGGUUUCUAGGAACAAAUUGCCUAUUAAGGGCGUUGUAACUAGUGAGUUAUGUCACUCAUGUCCCAUGGGCAAGAGUCACAAGUUACCUUUUCCAUUGUCUGUCUCUAGGUCUUCAUCUCCUUUACAAUUGGUUCAUUCCGAUGUAUGGACUUCACCUUCUUUUUCUAUCAAUGGUUUUAAAUAUUAUGUCGUGUUUAUUGAUGAUUUUUCUCGCUACUCUUGGCUAUAUCCCUUAAAAUUAAAAUCUGAUGUUUUUCUCACUUUUGUGUCCUUUAAGAAAUUGGUUGAAAACAUGUUCCACACUACAAUUAAAUCCUUUCAAACUGAUGGAGGAGGGGAGUACGUAAACAACAAAUUCAAAAUUUUUUUUGACUCAACAUGGCAUUCUACACAUCGUUUUACAUGUCCACAUAUCAUCCUGAACAAAAUGGAAUUUCCGAACGUAAACACCGUCAUAUCGUUGAAACUGGUCUCACUCUUCUUGCUCAUUCCUCCUUACCAACUUCUUUUUGGGAUGAUGCUUUCCAUACAGCAAACUAUUUGAUCAAUCGUUUACCCACUAAAGUUCUCCAUGAUGAGUCUCCCUUUCAAAAACUGUUUCAAAAAUCUCCUCAAUAUGAUUUUCUUAAAGUUUUUGGGUGUGCAUGUUUUCCAUUUCUUCGUCCUUAUAAUACUAACAAGCUGCAAUUUCGCUCCAAACGUUGCAUUUUCUUAGGUUAUUCAUUAAAUCAACAAGGUUAUAGGUGUUUAGAUACGUCCACAGGUCGCAUUUUUUUGUCACGCCAUGUCCUAUUUGAUGAAACCAAUUUUCCAUACAAAGAAUCCAUUUCUACAACGUCCUCAUCCUCCCAAUCGUCUAUGGUACUGAACAUUGACCCCUCUUCUUUCCAUUAUCCCUCUAGGAACCCCAUUUUCCCAACUGUACCACCAAACCCACAUCCGUCCAACUUAUUCCCCAUAUUAUCUCACCCACCUAACCCUAGUCCUAUUCCCUGCCCUUUACCACCACAUCCGCACCAUCACAUGCAUCCCACUAUACCAUCCCCCAACCUAACCCUAUUUCCUCUAAUUUCCCACCAAAUCCGCACCUCCCUGCCCCUUCUUCCAUUCCAUCCCCUACGACUGCAAUGGGUGUUGCUCCUGUCUCACCUUCCUCUCAGAGACAAAUUCAACCUGUUCACUCCAUGGUUACACGCUCAAAGGAUGGCAUUCAGAAGCCAAACCCCAAGUAUGCUCUUGUUUCUGAUGUGACUAAUGAACUUGUUGAGCCCUCUUGUUUUACACAGGCAAAUAAGUCUCCCGAAUGGCGUAUGGCAAUGGCAGAAGAGUUCAAUGCUCUACAAAGCACAGGAACGUGGUCCCUAGUUCCUUCUCAUCCCUCCAUGAAUGUCCUACCAAAUAAAUGGGUCUACCGUAUUAAACGGAAAUCUGACGGUUCCAUUGAAAGAUUUAAAGCACGUCUUGUUGCCAAUGGUUUCCAUCAACAAGAAGGGCUUGAUUACAGUGAGACGUUUAGUCCCGUCGUCACUCAUGGCUUCUCAAUCUUCCUCUCCCAUUCCCUUUCCUAAUGUCUCCAAUUUUCUCACGAUCAAACUUGAUCGUACCAACUACCCUCUCUGGCAAGCCCAAAUGCUACCUCUCCUCCGCAGUCGAAAUCUGGUUUCCUUUGUUGAUGGAACUAGUAAGUGUCCCCCAGCAUUGCUGACAGAUGAGGAUGGAAACAUCACUGACAAAGUCAACCCUGAUUUCGACACUUGGAUACAACAGGAUGCAACUGUUAUGUCAUGGAUCAACUCCUCCGUCCAUCCUACCGUGCUUGCUGCUUUAAUUGGGAAAACCAGCUCCCACUCUGCCUGGACAACACUACGUGAUCGUUAUGCUUCUCAGUCCACCGGUCGCCUUCUCCAGCUUCGUAGUGAGUUGAUGAAUACUCACCGAGGUGAUUCUUCCAUUUCUGAAUUUUUGGAUAAAAUUAAUUGUCUCGCAGAUACCCUCUCUCUCUCUGGUGCUCCCGUUUCCGACUCCGACAUCGUUGCCAUCAUCCUCAACAACGUUGGUCCGGCCUAUGAAAGUACCGUUGCUUCCGCUCAAGCCCGUGAUGAGGCUAUUACCUACAGUGCUUUGGAAGCCCUCCUCCUUGGCGCUGAAAGACGACAGCAAAUACAUUCGCGUUUGGUACUGACAGUGGGCUCACUGUCCUUGCCGCCGCUCGCAAUGGCAACCGCGCACCUGCAUCUUCUCGAGGACGAGGAUCCUCUACUGGCUUCCGUGGUCGUAGUAACUUCAAUACUGGUCGCGGCUCUACCAAUCGCCACUACAGCUCCUCACCCUCUCACCAAGGUUCCUACUAUCACCAAGGGUCCAACUCUCACCAAG
rnacentral:lncRNA from 1 species